rnacentral:rRNA from 1 species
AUGAAGCCUCAACAAGAUAGUAAGACAUUGGGUCCCAAAAUUGACGCAUAUGGUCAAAUCAGUAAACACAAGAAAAAUCAAGCCUCAAACCUCACCUCACAUGAGCUCCUCCUCCUUGCAAAGGUACUCACCAGUGUUAGACUGGUGGAGCACCACCAGAGCAUUGGUGUCGGCCUUCCUAUAGUCCAGCGCAUGGACAGUGAGUUGGAAGGCGCCGCCGUGGUUGAACUUACCAAUGGGCAUCAUCGUCACCGAGGCACUUGGCGGCGGUGGGGCACGUGUCGUGGUCGUCCGGCGGGGGUAAGGAGGUACGCAGGAGAGGCUGGCGCCAGAGCAGUGCGUGGGGGGAGGAGGCCGACAGUGGGUGCGAGGGCCUGGUGA